rnacentral:rRNA from 1 species
UAGGAGCCCCGGGGGGCCGCAGAGAAAUGGCCCAGGCGACUGUUUAGCAAAAACACAGCACUAUGCAAACCUCUAAGGGGAAGUAUAUGGUGUGACGCCUGCCCAAUGCCAAAAGGUUAAAGGGAUAUGUCAGCUGCAAAGCGAAGCAUUGAACCUAAGCCCUGGUGAAUGGCCGCCGUAACUAUAACGGUGCUAAGGUAGCGAAAUUCCUUGUCGGGUAAGUUCCGACCUGCACGAAUGGUGUAACGAUCUGGGCACUGUCUCAACGAAAGACUCGGUGAAAUUGUAGUAGCAGUGAAGAUGCUGUUUACCCGCGAAAGGACGAAAAGACCCCGUGAACCUUUACUGUACUUUGGUAUUGAUUUUUGGUUUGUUAUGUGUAGGAUAGCCAGGAGACUAGGAACACUCUUCUUCAGGAGAGUGGGAGUCAACGUUGAAAUACUGGUCUUAACAAGCUGGGAAUCUAACAUUAUUCCAUGAAUCUGGAGGAUGGACAUUGCCAGACGGGCAGUUUUACUGGGGCGGUAUCCUCCUAAAAAGUAACGGAGGAGCCCAAAGCUUAUUUCAUCGUGGUUGGCAAUCACGAGUAGAGCGUAAAGGUAUAAGAUAGGUUGACUGCAAGACCAACAAGUCGAGCAGAGACGAAAGUCGGGCUUAGUGAUCCGGCGGUGGAAAGUGGAAUCGCCGUCGCUUAACGGAUAAAAGGUACUCCGGGGAUAACAGGCUGAUCGCCACCAAGAGUUCAUAUCGACGUGGCGGUUUGGCACCUCGAUGUCGGCUCAUCGCAUCCUGGGGCUGGAGAAGGUCCCAAGGGUUUGGCUGUUCGCCAAUUAAAGCGGUACGCGAGCUGGGUUCAAAACGUCGUGAGACAGUUUGGUCUCUAUCCUUCGUGGGCGCAGGAUACUUGAGAGGAGCUGUUCCUAGUACGAGAGGACCGGAAUGGACGAACCAAUGGUGUGUCGGUUGUUUUGCCAAGAGCAUAGCCGAGUAGCUACGUUCGGAAAGGAUAAGCAUUGAA